CCGCCUUGGCCUUCCAAAGUGCUGGGAUUACAGGUGUGAGCCACUGCGCGUGGCCAGUAUCUAGAAAUUUGACAAGAGACCUUAAAAAUUUUCUUUGCUCUGUUUUUGGAGUUUUUCCCCCUGUGAUUUUAGAGCCGGAGUUGGGGAAUGGAGCAAAUAAAUAAGACCUCCUUGCUCAAAGCCAAGGCUUGGGGUCCUCUUACUUUGAUGGGAAGGAAGUGGAGAUGGUAGAGGAACCAGCAGUGAAUACAAAAGGGUCACUGAGAACAUAGAGGCUGAGUUUGUGGACAGUGUGGAGUUUAAAUUCAGUUUUUGCUAAUUAAGCAAAUUUCGACAACUUGUGGAACUGAGCAGGAAUCCUUUCCCCUGAGUCUUCCCUCUUCUCCCAGUGGGCAGCAUCCUAAGGAAGGUUUAUAUUUUUCAAGAGACGAUAGUAAAGUCUCUCUGAGUCAGUUAUGAAAUCCCCAAGUUCCUAUGCCAGUGACCCUGUUUUCAGUAGUUCACUCUGUCCAUCUCUCUCCUUUCAAUUGGCAGAACAGAUGGAGCACAGCUUCUCUAGCUUGCAUUCCAGGAAAGUUCUUGCAAGGAGCAGAGUUCAAGGUGUACAGAUGAUCGAAAUGGGUGUAUUUCUCAGCUCCUGCUAGAUGGGCCUGAAGCCCUUUUGAAUGUAGCUGAGCAUGCCCUGACAGCACAGAGACACCAGGAGCCUGUGCAGUGGCACAGAGACACCAGGAGCCUGUGCAGUGGCACAGAGCUCCCAGGUUUACCAGGUUUAGGAAUCCCUUCCCUGGAAAGCCUAUAGUGGUCAGCAGACAAGUUGGAUGGGUAACAGAGUUCAUCACUGUGACUGGAAAUGAGUCUCACCUGAAAUGCAACAGCAGCUACUUUACACAGGUCUCUUGACCAUCCUCAACAUUCUUGGUGGCUGCAACCUUAGUAGGCUUUGACCAUUAAUUAAACUGACAUGAUUCACGAAUUGGAUAAAGGCUUUUGACAGUAGGAAUAAACAUCAGAUGGGUAGAUUGAUUCCCUAUCCUUAAGGAAAAGAACCACAGCUGGUUUGAGUAUGAUGUUUAAUGUAAGAUCCAGUGGCUUGGCAGAGUUGGUGCAAAACUGUAAAGUACCAGAUUAAGUUCUAGUCAGUGAGUUAGCCUGUCCACCUUCCCACCCAUGUGUGGUAGG
rnacentral:lncRNA from 10 species